rnacentral:rRNA from 1 species
AAAUGAAUUGACGGGGGCCCGCACAAGCGGAGGAACAUGUGGUUUAAUUCGAUGAUACGCGAGGAACCUUACCCGGGCUUGAAAUGCAGAGGAAUGACUUGGAAACAGGUCCGCCAGCAAUGGUCUCUGUGUAGGUGCUGCAUGGUUGUCGUCAGCUCGUGCCGUGAGGUGUCGGCUUAAGUGCCAUAACGAGCGCAACCCUUGUCAUUAGUUACUAACAGGUCAUGCUGAGGACUCUAAUGAGACUGCCAUCGUAAGAUGAGAGGAAGGUGGGGAUGACGUCAAAUCAGCACGGCCCUUACGUCCGGGGCGACACACGUGUUACAAUGGGGGGUACAGAGGGUUGCUACUGCGCGAGCAGAUGCUAAUCUCUUAAAGCCUCUCUCAGUUCGGAUCGAAGUCUGCAACUCGACUUCGUGAAGCUGGAUUCGCUAGUAAUCGCGCAUCAGCCAUGGCGCGGUGAAUACGUUCCCGGGCCUUGUACACACCGCCCGU